GGAAGGGGUGUAUUUAUUAGAUUAAAAACCAAUGCCCUUCGGGGCUCACUGGUGAUUCAUAAUAACUUCUCGAAUCGCAUGGCCUUGUGCCGGCGAUGGUUCAUUCAAAUUUCUGCCCUAUCAACUUUCGACGGCUGGGUCUUGGCCAGCCGUGGUUACAACGGGUAACGGAGGGUUAGGGCUUGACCCCGGAGAAGGAGCCUGAGAAACGGCUACUACAUCCAAGGAAGGCAGCAGGCGCGCAAAUUACCCAAUCCCGACACGGGGAGGUAGUGACAAUAAAUACUGAUACAGGGCUCUUUUGGGUCUUGCAAUUGGAAUGAGUACAAUUUAAAUCCCUUAACGAGGAACAAUUGGAGGGCAAGUCUGGUGCCAGCAGCCGCGGUAAUUCCAGCUCCAAUAGCGUAUAUUAAAGUUGUUGCAGUUAAAAAGCUCGUAGUUGAACCUUGGGCCUGGCUGGCCGGUCUGCCUCACCGCAUGCACUGGUCCGGCCGGGCCUUUCCCUCUGGAGAUCCGCAUGCCCUUUACUGGGUGUGUCGGGGAACCAGGACUUUUAC
rnacentral:rRNA from 1 species